GAAUUCGCCCUUAGAGUUUGAUCCUGGCUCAGGACGAACGCUGGCGGCGUGCCUAACACAUGCAAGUCGAACGGAGUUGAGCCCUUCGGGACUUGACUUAGUGGCGAACGGGUGAGUAACGCGUGAAUAACCUGCCUUUCAGUGGGGGACAACAGUCGGAAACGAUUGCUAAUACCGCAUAAUAUCUUCUGGCCGCAUGACUGGAAGAUCAAAGCUUUAUGUGCUGAAAGAUGGAUUCGCGUCUGAUUAGCUAGUUGGUGGGGUAACGGCCCACCAAGGCGACGAUCAGUAGCCGGUCUGAGAGGAUGAACGGCCACAUUGGGACUGAGAUACGGCCCAGACUCCUACGGGAGGCAGCAGUGGGGAAUAUUGGGCAAUGGGGGAAACCCUGACCCAGCAACGCCGCGUGAAGGAAGAAGGCUUUCGGGUUGUAAACUUCUUUUACCAGGGACGAAGGACGUGACGGUACCUGGAGAAAAAGCAACGGCUAACUACGUGCCAGCAGCCGCGGUAAUACGUAGGUUGCAAGCGUUGUCCGGAUUUACUGGGUGUAAAGGGCGUGUAGGCGGAGGUGCAAGUUGGGAGUGAAAUCUAUGGGCUUAACCCAUAAACUGCUCUCAAAACUGUGCCCCUUGAGUAUCGGAGAGGCAAGCGGAAUUCCUAGUGUAGCGGUGAAAUGCGUAGAUAUUAGGAGGAACACCAGUGGCGAAGGCGGCUUGCUGGACGACAACUGACGCUGAGGCGCGAAAGCGUGGGGAGCAAACAGGAUUAGAUACCCUGGUAGUCCACGCUGUAAACGAUGAAUA
rnacentral:rRNA from 1 species